UGAAUACGAGACGCUAAGGCGUCGAAGUAGUGUAUGUCAUACUUCCAAGAAAAGCUUGCACUGUCAUAAGUAAAAAAUGCCUGUACCAUAACCGACACAGGUGGGUAGGUAGAGUAUACUAAGGGGCGCGAGAUAACUCUCUCUAAGGAACUCGGCAAAAUAACUCCGUAACUUCGGGAGAAGGAGUACCUUAUUCUAUAAGGUUGCAAUAACAAGAUCCAAGCAACUGUUUAUCAAAAACACAGGUCUCCGCUAAGUCGUAAGACGAUGUAUGGGGGCUGACGCCUGCCCAGUGCCAGAAGGUUAAAGAAGUCGGUUAGCAUUAGCGAAGCUGGUAACUGAAGCCCUGGUGAACGGCGGCCGUAACAAUAACGGUCCUAAGGUAGCGAAAUUCCUUGUCGGGUAAGUUCCGACCCGCACGAAAGGCGUAAUGAUUUGGAUACUGUCUCGGAGAGGGGCUCGGUGAAAUAGACUUGUCUGUGAAGAUGCGGACUACCUGCACCAGGACAGAAAGACCCUAUGAAGCUUUACUGUAACUUGAAAUUGAAAUUGGACUUUAUUCGCGCAGUAUAGGUGGGAGGUGUUGAUUAUAAUCUUGCGGGAUUAUUGGAGCCAUCAGUGAGAUACCACUCUUGUAAUGUUAGAUUUCUAACUUUGAAUCAUUAUCUGGUCAAAGGACAGUUUCAGGCGGGCAGUUUGACUGGGCGGUCGCCUCCCAAACGGUAACGGAGGCGUACAAAGGUUUCCUCUGAACGGGUAGAAAUCGUAUCUAGAGUGUAAAGGCAUAAGGAAGCUUGACUGUGAGACCUACAAGUCGAACAGGGACGAAAGUCGGUCUUAGUGAUCUGACGGUACUGAGUGGAAAGGCCGUCACUCAACGGAUAAAAGUUACUCUAAGGAUAACAGGCUGAUCUCCCCCAAGAGUUCACAUCGACGGGGAGGUUUGGCACCUCGAUGUCGGCUCAUCGCAUCCUGGGGCGGUAGUACGUCCCAAGGGUUGGGCUGUUCGCCCAUGAAAGCGGUACGCGAGCUGGGUUCAGAACGUCGUGAGACAGUUCGGUCCAUAUCCGGUGUAGGCGUUAGAAUAUUGAGAGGAGCCUUCUUUAGUACGAGAGGACCGAGAAGGACAUACCUCUGGUGUACCAGUUAUCGUGCCAACGGUAAACGCUGGGUAGCUAUGUAUGGAGUGGAUAACCGCUGAAAGCAUCUAAGUGGGAAGCCCACCUCAAGAUAAGUA
rnacentral:rRNA from 1 species